AAUAUUAUGACUGAUAAAAGUAAUAAAUUGUAAAUUUAUAAAUUUUAAAUAAUAAUU
rnacentral:tRNA from 1 species